GGAGACUUUUAGAGGCCAGGGCAACACCGGGAUUCCUGGGAUGAACACUCACAUCUGAGAUGAUAUCUAGGAGGUUUUUAAAAAUUCAAAAGGAAAAAGAGCAAGAGCCCUGUAAACAACAUCUUCCGCAGCUCACUGUGGCACUGCAGCCAGAGAAUAACUGACGUUCAUGCUGGCUGCAGGGUCCCAACAGGGCAGAUCGGGCCCAGGAGAGGAGGGUGCCGGGGGCCGGCAGCACGCAGGAGAAGGCUGCUCCCGAGGGCACUCUGCCCGCCUGGAGAGACACCGCAGCUGGCGCACCUCUUUGGGGAAGGAAGGCAACUCGGUUAAUUCACCUAUCCGUCAGUAGAGACAAUGAAUUCGGAGUAUCUUGCAGGCAGCUACGUCCACAGGAAGUGCACCACUGCCCAAUCUAGGUCUGUUGCUUUCAAAGGCAAACAUCGCGCUUUGGGAAAACCACUCUGCAUGGGUGAGCUUCGCGUACCAGGUCACCGUGAUCCUGGCAGGCAGCUGUCAGACGUCUGCACGGAGGACCUGGUCAGCUUCACCCUGAAAUCACCUCUGACUCCUUCUCCCUCCCGGCACCAGAAGGAAAUGGUCCGGGUGCAGCCUGGUUUUGGAGAGUUUAAACGUUUUGUGUUACUAGAAAAAAAGUUAUUCUGAGAAGCAUAAUAAUGAUGCAAUUAUGUUUCUAACUGUAACCCUUUGUUGAUACUAUAAAUUUAAGAUCCCCCUAUGGAAACAAAAAGGGAAAAAUGAAAAUACAUGAUAAUAAUAAAAAGUUCCUAAAU